GUUGAAGGUUGGGUAACACUAACUGGAGGACCGAACCGACUAAUGUUGAAAAAUUAGCGGAUGACUUGUGGCUGGGGGUGAAAGGCCAAUCAAACCGGGAGAUAGCUGGUUCUCCCCGAAAGCUAUUUAGGUAGCGCCUCGUGAAUUCAUCUCCGGGGGUAGAGCACUGUUUCGGCAAGGGGGUCAUCCCGACUUACCAACCCGAUGCAAACUGCGAAUACCGGAGAAUGUUAUCACGGGAGACACACGGCGGGUGCUAACGUCCGUCGUGAAGAGGGAAACAACCCAGACCGCCAGCUAAGGUCCCAAAGUCAUGGUUAAGUGGGAAACGAUGUGGGAAGGCCCAGACAGCCAGGAUGUUGGCUUAGAAGCAGCCAUCAUUUAAAGAAAGCGUAAUAGCUCACUGGUCGAGUCGGCCUGCGCGGAAGAUGUAACGGGGCUAAACCAUGCACCGAAGCUGCGGCAGCGACGCUUAUGCGUUGUUGGGUAGGGGAGCGUUCUGUAAGCCUGCGAAGGUGUGCUGUGAGG
rnacentral:rRNA from 1 species